rnacentral:lncRNA from 1 species
UCUUAAAGAGAGAGGCUUGAUCUUCUUGUUGUGGUAGUAUCUCAGCUUCUGUUGAUAGAUGGUCAUCCGGCUCAAGGCCAAGUCCCUUGCCUCCUCGAGGAGAUCAACGUUGUCUUCUCUUGCCUCCUUUGCCUCCGUUUUCGUGUAAAGGUGACCCAAGGCGAGUCGAACUCGAUAUGUGUAGGGAUGAUGGCCUCGGACCCGUAUACAAGAAAGAACGGAGUGAAGCUGAUUGACCGGCUGGGCGUGGUGCGGAGACUCCAUAGUACAGCCGGCAGUUCUUCGAUCCAGCAG